GGUGGCUCAGUGGUAUAGCCCUUGCCUUGCAUGCAUGAGGCCCUGGGUUUGAUUCCCCAGCACCA
rnacentral:tRNA from 1 species